AUGAGGACUCGAUUGCUUUCAAAGCUCUUGGAAGGUGGGAGGAGGGAAUGGCAGGCCCUGCCCCGGUGCCCCCUCUUCCGGGAGCCCUUUCUCUUUCCCUCCUCCCUGUUUUUGCCAGUCUUGGUCACCCAGCAGGCGAGUCUCUGGGAGUCAACCUCCUGGGAGGCGGAGACCGAGCCCCAGCCUCCGCCAGUCCCGCCGGCACACCCAGCUAGGCCUCCUCUGCCGGCUGUUGAGGACCCGUCCGGCAGCGACCUGGCACUCCCUGCAAAUACCCCAGAGGAUGCAAUUACGGAACCUGAGCAUUUCAAACGGACCUCCCAGUUGGACAAACAAAAUCAAGAGAAGCAGGACUCUGAUCUGGCUGCACCGUCAGGGACCAGCUCCGUUCAUCAGCCAGCUCCUUUCCAGGCUCGAGGGGAGAGGAGGUGCCCUGGGGCUGGCCGGAGACACUCAGCCCUUCCUGGAGCCAGUGAUAGUGGGCCAGGACAACGCCUCGGGCCUCAGAUCAGCGCCCCGGCCUCUCACCUAGUCAAGGCGAUGGAUGGGGGAUCAGUGUGCUCAGAUGGGUGGGUGCAGGGUGCCCACGGGGGUUCGCACAUCAUCCCCAAGGUCCGUACCUACCUACAUCACAGGACGGUCAUUCACAGGCUCACCUGGGCCUGGUUCAGGUACAGCAGCCCACUACCUGCACCCCUUUCUCUGGCAGGGCCCUGUGCCCCCUGGUUUCCGUGCCUGUCUCGCCCACUAGACUGUGAGACGCUGGGGGCAGGGGCUGCACGCCGUCCGUGUUACACCCAUCACCCUUGGCUUGGUUCGUCCCUGUUCACAUCGACAGAUACAAAUGUGCUGGAACGAAUGGUCUCCGGAACGUGCCAGGCGAAGGCAGAGGGACAGCUCCCCCGAGGGAAACAGUCUCCUCGUCACAGACAUCCCGCAUUCGUGUCGAACACAGGAGUGUUGGAACAGUAUGAAAAGGACGGUUCGGGCCUGGUAAGACCCCCCGUGGAGGCCCACGGCCCAGGCUGA
rnacentral:lncRNA from 1 species